ACGAUCGAUGUGGACGAGGAAAAAUUCAAAAAAGAGAUGCACUGUCUGAUGAAUUUACGGCAUAAGAACGUAGUGCGAUUUCUGGGGUACUGUGAUGAAACACAGCAAAAAUCGGUAGAAUAUGAUGGCAAGCCUGUCAUAGCAGAUCAACGAAACAGGUUACUCUGCUUUGAGUUUGUACCUAAGUGUCUCCAGGAGCAUAUCACCGCUGCAUCUUGUGGACUAGAAUGGAGGAUACGCUAUCAAAUAAUCAAGGGAAUAUGUGAUGCUUUACAUUAUCUUCAUGAGAAGCGUAUUGUCCAUGCAGAUCUCAAACCUGCCAAUAUACUGCUAGAUGACAACAUGCUGCCAAAAAUUGCUGACUUUGGUCUCUCAAGGUGCUUUGACGAAGACCAAAGCAAGGCUAUUACAUCAAAACUGAUUGGAUCAAUAGGAUAUUUGCCACAAGAGUUUUUCGAUGGACACAUCACAUUGAAGCUAGAUAUAUAUAGUCUUGGUGUUAUAAUUAAUGAGAUGCUGACAGGAAACAAGGCAACUUCCGCAGAAGAGAAUGUACUUAAAACUUGGAACGAUAGGCUAGAGAUAUCAGAGCGAGACAUACCGUUGCAGCAAGAGUGUGCGCUGAAAUGGCCAAAAUGUGCAUUGAUCCCAACAAAGAGAACAGACCUUCUACACAUCGUAUAAUUGAAAUGUUGGAGGUGGGAAGUGCUGAUAAGUUUGAUGAGGCAGGCACGAGUACUUCAUUAGUAGCACAGGGGAAAUUCAAAAUCGAUGGAAAUGUCAUGAGCCUAGCUAUCAAGCGUGUUACUAAUAGGAAGGUAACACAUAUUCUGAAGUUAACUAAUCUAACAGUAUUUUCUUAUGACAAUAUAAGAACUGCCACGACGGGCUUUGGAGAUGUAAUUGGAGAAGGUGGAUUCGGUAAGGUCUUCAAGGUACGUCUAUAUAUUCAGUCAGGUCUCCUACUAAAGCGAAUUCAAAAUUUAUGGGCAAAACUUGUUUCAUAAACAGACUUCAUACAAGACAAAGAUGUUUUUUCAUAAGGGAAACUAUAUUAAUUUUCAAGAUUACAUUGAGUUGAUACGUAACUUUGAAAAAAAAUCCUAGCCUCUGCAUAACUAGGAUGCACACAUAUAAAAAAGCACUAACAUACAAGCCCGCUAAUGACUAUCAAUUCAAAGACUAGACCGCCACUCGUACGUCUGGAUUAAAAAACUCUUUGAUUAGCCAAGCCAACAAUUGAGAUGCUAUUGACUUUUGUUGUUUUGCAAGAUACUAGUCCAAGUGCGAAGCUAAUGGAUAACUUAACUAAGUAGAUAACCUGGGAAGAAGAAAAUUUUUAUUUCUUUUCAAAAAUCAAAUCAUUCCUGCAUAUACAAGACAAAGGUAUAUUGCGAUAUAUAAUUUACCAUCCGUUCUAAUAGCUCAGUUAUAGUGAGAUAGUUUUGGGUAGACGCUGAAUUCAGUUAAUGAAAACAUCAUAUAUUACCUCCUCACAUGUUUCAGUAAAUAUUCCAUUUUAGUUUUCUGUGGGAAUAAUAUAUGUCACUGUUAUUAGAGCUGUCAUUUUAACCAGAGCUGCAAGUCGCUAAAGGUUAGUGGUGUCUUCCUUUUUGUGAUGUUUAAGUUCCAUCUGGACAAACUAACCAUGUCCUAAUCUCGACACGCCCAAAUUAUUGUUUCUUUCAUUUAUUCAUGGUACAAAUAGAGUCCAAUAAAUUUUGGAGUUUUGCUCCAGUGAUCCUUUUCAUAGAAACUACUUUUACCUAUUUUUAAAGCACGUACGUUUCCAAAAAGAAUUAGUUUGGUCCAACAAUAUCACCAACUAGUGGAUGAAAGCAUUUAUAAUACGAACAAAAAUACUAUAUUGUAAUCUAAACAGACUUGAAUACAAUAAGAAUAUGAAAACACAACAAAAUCCGCAUCGAAGAAAACCCAUCGAAGAGAAAUAAUCUGCAUGACCCGUAUGGUGCCUUUUUGACCGCUGUAGCAACACAUAAGCAUAUUUGCUAGCUAAUCUUAAAGUAAACAGUUAAUUAAUUUGAUGAUAUUCUAAUUUCAUCUGGGAUUGUGUUUGGACCUGAUCCUAUCUGUGCCAAAAUAGAGCCUGUCCAUGUGUGGUCCUAUCCAAAUAUCGAUUUGUUCUCCAAGUCACAAGAAAAAAAAUCGGCGUUUCGCUUCAGCGCAUCCGAGCGGGCUGCCGCC